UGUUUUUAUAUAUUAAAAAAGGCUUUAUGGUUUCUUUAUUGAACAAAGCUUGAUCGAAAGAAAAGGCACGUUAUUUUUUUUAUAAAAUAGGAAACUUGAUAAUAGUACUAAAAACAACCUCUUUUGUUUAAACAUAUACAAAGGAAUGAAUUCUCACUUCAGCUCACCAUGCUAAUGUCAUAGCCAACUAGAAGCUAUAUACUCUUGCCCUUUUGCUUCCUUCCCCAUCUUUGGGUUGCUAUAGGAAGGUUACAGCAAGGCUGAAGUUUACUUUCUAUGAAUCAUGUUUUUUGCUAGUGGCAUAACCAUUGCCUUAAGACCUCGCUUGUGCUUUAAUGAGUAGCACAAGGCUCACGAACAGCUGUGUUACACUCCAUAAGUUCGAAAGAUGUCCUCCAUCAAGGAACGAGACAGAAGUUGCUCUAUUCUAGAGUUGCUUCCAACAUGUAUGAAGGGAACACUGAUAAUGAAAGAUGCUAUCUGACAGGUGCAUUUGGCAAUAGAAAGGGCCUCGAUGAUUAAUCUUAUCAAAGAAAGAUUACUCCAAGAUAUUAUUUAAAGCCUCAAUGAUCAGCGUCAAUGAAGGACUAUGCUAACAUUUCAUGUGCAUUUGAAAGGAUAUUAAGAAGCAGUCCAUUUAAUACAAGCUACAGCUAGAUCCUUCAAUUUUAGCAUUCAAAGGAAUUGAGGUUGGCAAUGCUUUAGGAACAUUAUAUUUUCGACAAAGAUAGCAAUCCGUCAUCUUGAAGUUGCAAGUACUCAGAUGGUCAACAUAGUCAUAUCUGAGAGGGUAGAUACUGUUAAAGAGACAUUUGAGAGAUCCAUAUAUAGAUCAUGUGUGCAAGAAGCAAAGAUUUAAAGCUAGUAGCUCAUCAUGAAGAACUGCAAAAUUCCAAUAGUAAGAAGUUGAGGCUCAGGGUCCGAUACCAAUAAAGCAAGACAGCAAUGGAGGAGGUUGUGAUCGUAGUUGGAUGAAUAGCCUGGCUAUCCAUUUCUCACUUCCCAUCAACAAGAACCAGAUAGUAGUUUUGCUGCUGCCAUUGUGAUUGGGGUUUUUAAGCUGCUUUCAGACAAGGUAUUGCUGAGGACCUUUUUUCAAGCCAGAUGCUGGAUCAUAUCUGGUGGAGGCAUUGCUCCAGAAAACUUGUUCAUAUCUGGCGGAGACAUUGGUGCAGGAAACUUGUUGAUUGCAAGCCUCAUUAAAGUGAAUACAUAAUUUGAUUUUGCUGAUCCAUGAAGGUGGGGAAUAUUCUUAUUGGACCAUCUGUCGAGCCCAACAAAAGCACUGGACGCCUAGAAGUUAGGCUUUUCGCCCGAGGUCCCUGGCAGCAACCUAGAGGUUAUAAAAGGUGCAAAAUGGAAUUCUGUUGUUAAUGAGAUCCGUGCGAGCUCCAAACUUCAGUAUGAGGAUUUCAGACAACAUUAUGCGAAUCAAAUAAAAGGAAAAGGUAUAACAAAGGGAAGAAGCAAAUUUAAAUGACACGAGCAGAUAAUUUAUUUUCAUUUUUUUAUCUUCUAUACUUUCAGCCCUGAUUCUUUUUGUGCUUAUUUUAAGAGCCUUCUCCUCUUGUAUCUUUAAUCUGUUUGUUGAAAUGCCGUGCAACAGCUUGCUUUUGUACAUCUUCAAGGUAUUUAGUCACAGGAACUGAAUAUAUCAAAUGUGUUUGCUGUCUGUCACCUAAUUGUUUCUUUUAUGCAAACAUGAUGCAUGCCUGUCUCA